AGUGGCAGACGGGUGAGUAAUGUAUAGGAAUCUACCUAGUAGUACGGAAUAAUUGUUGGAAACGGCAACUAAUACCGUAUACGCCCUACGGGGGAAAAAUUUAUUGCUAUUAGAUGAGCCUAUAUUAGAUUAGUUAGUUGGUGAGGUAAAGGCUUACCAAGACAAUGAUCUAUAGCUGAUCUGAGAGGAUGAUCAGCCACACUGGAACUGAGAUACGGUCCAGACUCCUACGGGAGGCAGCAGUGGGGAAUAUUGGACAAUGGGCGAAAGCCUGAUCCAGCCAUGCCGCAUGAGUGAAGAAGGCCUUCGGGUUGUAAAGCUCUUUUAGUGAGGAAGAUAAUGACGGUACUCACAGAAGAAGUCCUGGCUAACUCUGUGCCAGCAGCCGCGGUAAUACGGAGAGGGCUAGCGUUAUUCGGAAUCAUUGGGCGUAAAGGGCGCGUAGGCGGGUUAAUAAGUUAAAAGUGAAAUCCCAAGGCUCAACCUUGGAACUGCUUUUAAAACUGCUAGUCUAGAGAUUGAAAGAGGAUAGAGGAAUUCCUAGUGUAGAGGUGAAAUUCGUAAAUAUUANGAGGAACA
rnacentral:rRNA from 1 species